rnacentral:rRNA from 1 species
CAGGCCUAACACAUGCAAGUCGAGGGGUAACAGAGAGAAGCUUGCUUUUUUGCUGACGACCGGCGCACGGGUGCGUAACGCGUAUACAAUCUACCUCUUACUGAGGGAUAGCCCAGAGAAAUUUGGAUUAACACCUCAUAGUAUGAUGAUUCGGCAUCGGAUUUUCAUUAAAGGUUACGGUAAGAGAUGAGUAUGCGUUCUAUUAGCUAGUAGGUAUGGUAACGGCAUACCUAGGCAACGAUAGAUAGGGGCCCUGAGAGGGGGAUCCCCCACACUGGUACUGAGACACGGACCAGACUCCUACGGGAGGCAGCAGUGAGGAAUAUUGGUCAAUGGGCGCAAGCCUGAACCAGCCAUGCCGCGUGCAGGAAGACUGCCCUAUGGGUUGUAAACUGCUUUUAUACAGGAAGAAACACUCCCUCGUGAGGGAGCUUGACGGUACUGUAAGAAUAAGGAUCGGCUAACUCCGUGCCAGCAGCCGCGGUAAUACGGAGGAUCCAAGCGUUAUCCGGAAUCAUUGGGUUUAAAGGGUCCGUAGGUGGAUUAGUAAGUCAGAGGUGAAAUCCUGCAGCUCAACUGUAGAACUGCCUUUGAUACUGCUAGUCUUGAGUCAUUAUGAAGUGGUUAGAAUGUGUAGUGUAGCGGUGAAAAGCAUAGAUAUUACACAGAAUACCGAUUGCGAAGGCAGAUCACUAAUAAUGUACUGACACUGAUGGACGAAAGCGUGGG